UACGUAGGAGGCGAGCGUUGUUCGGAAUUACUGGGCGUAAAGCGUGCGCAGGCGGUUUUGUAAGCCAGAUGUGAAAGCCCCGGGCUUAACCUGGGAAUGGCAUUUGGGACUGCAAGGCUGGAGUACGGCAGAGGGAGGUGGAAUUCCAGGUGUAGCAGUGAAAUGCGUAGAGAUCUGGAGGAACACCGAUGGCGAAGGCAGCCUCCUGGGCUAGUACUGACGCUCAUGCACGAAAGCGUGGGGAGCAAACAGG
rnacentral:rRNA from 1 species